rnacentral:rRNA from 1 species
GACGAACGCUGGCGGCGUGCUUAACACAUGCAAGUCGAACGGGGAAGCGCCUUCCUUUUUGGUGGGUGUGGAUGAGUGGCGAACGGGUGAGUAACACGUGAGUAACCUGCCCCCUUCUUCUGGAUAACCGCAUGAAAGUGUGGCUAAUACGGGAUAUUCUGGGUCUGUCGCAUGAUGGGUCUGGGAAAGAUAUUGUUUCGGUGGGGGAUGGGCUCGCGGCCUAUCAGCUUGUUGGUGGGGUGAUGGCCUACCAAGGCGGUGACGGGUAGCCGGCCUGAGAGGGUGGACGGUCACACUGGGACUGAGACACGGCCCAGACUCCUACGGGAGGCAGCAGUGGGGAAUAUUGCACAAUGGGCGCAAGCCUGAUGCAGCGACGCCGCGUGAGGGAUGGAGGCCUUCGGGUUGUGAACCUCUUUCGCCAGUGAAGCAGGCCUGCCUCGUUUGUGGGUGGGUUGACGGUAGCUGGAUAAGAAGCGCCGGCUAACUACGUG